UACAAACCUUAUCGAUAAACAAUUGGAGGGCAAGUCUGGUGCCAGCAGCCGCGGUAAUUCCAGCUCCAAUAGCGUAUAUUAACGUUGUUGCAGUUAAAAAGCUCGUAGUUGAAAUGAAGGGUAGUUGUGUAAUGAAUACAUUCGUGUAUUUUGUUAUUCUACUACCCUCCUUCUAAAUUCGAUAUAUGAGUAUUAAUUUACUUGUAUAUGGUUUUAGACUUUUACUGUGAGAAAAUUAGAGUGUUCAAAGCAGGCAUUUGCUUGAAUAUAUUAGCAUGGAAUAAUCAUGUAUGAUUUUCAUGAUGUAUUUGAUUGGUUUGGUUCAUGAGAAUAAGAUUAAAAGGGACAGUUGGGGGUAUUCAUAUUCAAUAGUCAGAGGUGAAAUUCUCGGAUUUAUGGAAGAUGAAC
rnacentral:rRNA from 1 species